UUUGAGAUUUGGAAGCAUCUCCGUUACUCACUGAUUAUCCGUAGGUCUUAUCAUUAUUUGUCCAACCUUUCCCUCAGCUGAUAAUGCUUCUGCACAUAUUCCUAAAUAAAGCCAUCUUUUUAGUUGGAGCAGAGUAUCUGUUGGUGAGUGUUCAACUGGAACUUUAUUAACUGUACAUUAUUGCUCUUCUCUGCAUAUAUCAUAGGCUUUGUUCCAAAAUUUUAAAUUCAAUAUACUAAAUAAUGUGAUAUCUGCCAUGCCACUUGUAUAUUCUUGAAAUAUCUAAUUUUUUUCAAUUGCUAAUGGGUCUUGAAAAGUGUUUUUCUGUUGUUGCUAAUUUUAAUUAACUUAAUCAGCAUACUAAAAUCAGCUCAUUAACGAAACCUUAUAUUUUUUCGCAGCAUCCUCUUGAAAAUGUGAAGAUGCUGGGAUUGGGGCCCAGUGAAGUCCUGGUCAAGCUUUAAAUGGCAUCAGCAAAGGAGCAAUUUUGGAGAAAGGACAGCUAAUACGUUGUAUUAAUGCUAAUGAUCAGACUAAAUUCCACCUUCAUCAGAGGUUGGAGAGGCUUUACUCAUUGGCUUGAAAACUAGAGAGAGAUCUCCAAUCUUGACCAUUGUGACUGCAAG
rnacentral:lncRNA from 1 species